AGUGGUGGAGCCGCCGGCCCAAGCGGUUAGUAGGUGAGUGAUGGGGUGACGCAGGAAGGUAGUCCAUCCCGGGCGGUGGUUGUCCCGGGGUAAGGGUGUAGGCCGGACGGUAGGUAAAUCCGCCGUUCAUCAAGGCUGAGACCUGAUGCCGAGCCGAUUGUGGUGAAGUGGAUGAUCCUAUGCUGUCGAGAAAAGCCUCUAGCGAGUUUCAUGGCGGCCCGUACCCUAAACCGACUCAGGUGGUCUGGUAGAGAAUACCGAGGCGUUCGGGUGAACUAUGGUUAAGGAACUCGGCAAAAUGCCCCCGUAACUUCGGGAGAAGGGGGGCCAUGUCUGGUGAGCCGUCUUGCACGGUGAGCUGGGUGUGGCCGCAGAGACCAGCGAGAAGCGACUGUUUACUAAAAACACAGGUCCGUGCGAAGCCGUAAGGCGAUGUAUACGGACUGACGCCUGCCCGGUGCUGGAACGUUAAGGGGACCGGUUAGUCACUCUUCGGGGUGGCGAAGCUGAGAACUUAAGCGCCAGUAAACGGCGGUGGUAACUAUAACCAUCCUAAGGUAGCGAAAUUCCUUGUCGGGUAAGUUCCGACCUGCACGAAUGGCGUAACGACUUCUCGACUGUCUCAACCAUAGGCCCGGUGAAAUUGCACUACGAGUAAAGAUGCUCGUUUCGCGCAGCAGGACGGAAAGACCCCGGGACCUUUACUACAGUUUGAUAUUGGUGUUCGGUUCGGCUUGUGUAGGAUAGCUGGGAGACUGUGAAGCUCGGACGCCAGUUCGGGUGGAGUCGUCGUUGAAAUACCAGUCUGGUCGUGCUGGAUGUCUAACCUGGGUCCGUGAUCCGGAUCAGGGACAGUGUCUGAUGGGUAGUUUAACUGGGGCGGUUGCCUCCUAAAGGGUAACGGAGGCGCCCAAAGGUUCCCUCAGCCUGGUUGGUAAUCAGGUGGUGAGUGUAAGUGCACAAGGGAGCUUGACUGUGAGACCGACGGGUCGAGCAGGGACGAAAGUCGGGACUAGUGAUCCGGCGGUGGCUUGUGGAAGCGCCGUCGCUCAACGGAUAAAAGGUACCCCGGGGAUAACAGGCUGAUCUUCCCCAAGAGUCCAUAUCGACGGGAUGGUUUGGCACCUCGAUGUCGGCUCGUCGCAUCCUGGGGCUGGAGUCGGUCCCAAGGGUUGGGCUGUUCGCCCAUUAAAGCGGUACGCGAGCUGGGUUUAGAACGUCGUGAGACAGUUCGGUCCCUAUCCGCUGCGCGCGUAGGAGUCUUGAGAAGGGCUGUCCCUAGUACGAGAGGACCGGGACGGACGAACCUCUGGUGUGCCAGUUGUUCUGCCAAGGGCAUGGCUGGUUGGCUACGUUCGGGAGGGAUAACCGCUGAAAGCAUCUAAGCGGGAAGCCUGCUUCGAGAUGAGGACUCCCACCCACUUGAUGGGGUAAGGCUCCCAGUAGACGACUGGGUUGAUAGGCCGGAUCUGGAAGCCAGGUAACUGGUGGAGGUGACCGGUACUAAUAGGCCGAGGGCUUGUCCUC
rfam:Streptomyces griseoaurantiacus M045 Contig007, whole genome shotgun sequence.